GGAUGUGGGGGCAAACUGGCUGCAACAUCUGUCACCCCAUUGAUCACCAGGGUUGAUUCGGCUGAUCUGGCUAGCUAGGCGGGUGUCCCCUUCUUUCCUUAACACUCUAUGUGCAUCCCUCCCGAAGCUGCGUGCUUGGUUGAAGAGGACGACCACCCCCGAUAGAGGAGGACCAUUCCUCGGUCAAGGGUAUACGAGUAGCUGCGCUCCCCUGCUAGAACUUCCAAACAAGAACACAGGGCACAUGGUAGUUGCGUCUAACAGAAGUGGCAGGGGAAAAACAGAAGUUUCUGCUUCCCCUAGGGCCAGCAAUGGCAGUCUAUAG
rnacentral:snRNA from 1 species